AAACCAGCCAGACCUGACCCUGUGGACAUGGAUGAAGAUGAGCUGGAGAUGCUGUCUGAAGCCAGAGCCCGAUUGGCCAACACACAAGGCAAGAAGGCGAAGCGGAAAGCCAGAGA